CUCCUUACCAGUAAUUUCAGAGGUUUGAAAAGCUCUUAGAAACAAAAUUCUUUAAAUACAUAACUUCACUUCAAACGCUUCUCCAACCACUUUCUCCAUCCUCCAUUCCACUCAUUGUGUCAUACAAUGGCUGAUUUAAUGUCUCCGGCAGGCAAAAUGCAAGCAAUCCUCCCAUAAUUCCGCAUACUGCAAACACCGCAAAUGGCAAUGCACCCCCCAAAACCACCACAAAUGGUGCCAAUAUUGCCCCCAUUUGUGCUGCCUGCGUAGCACAGCCAAGAGCUGCAUUUCUCACUACUGUUGGAAACAACUCGGCUGUGUAUAUAAACAGUAAAUUAUAUGUCCCAGCCAUCCCAAAUAUACCCAAAAUCCCACAAAUCAUUCUCAUGAUUUUCCAUAUCCCAGCAUUUCCCAUCAAAC
rnacentral:misc_RNA from 1 species